rnacentral:rRNA from 1 species
GCCUGCGGCAAUGCGUGGUCCCACCUGACCCCAUGCCGAACUCAGAAGUGAAACGCCGUAGCGCCGAUGGUAGUGUGGGGUCUCCCCAUGCGAGAGUAGGACACUGCCAGGC